rnacentral:rRNA from 1 species
GGUGCGAGCGUUGUCCGGAAUCACUGGGCGUAAAGGGCGCGUAGGUGGAACGGGUAGUCGUCGGUGAAAGCUCAGGGCUCAACCCUGAGUCGGCCGGUGAUACUCCCGAGCUCGAGUGUGGUAGAGGCCAAUGGAAUUCCGGGUGUAGCGGUGGAAUGCGUAGAGAUCCGGAAGAACGCCGGUGGCGAAGGCGGUUGGCUGGGCCACAACUGACACUGAUGCGCGACAGCGUGGGGAGCAAACAGG